rnacentral:lncRNA from 1 species
AAUAGGCCGUGUUCUGCCAAAUGGUACUCACAGCUUCCAAAAAAAUCAUCCAUGUACUCAUGGCCGACGUGCUCAAUCAUCUCACUAAACGAGCAAUAAGGAAUAAAACAUAUUUAUCAGAUCAGCAGUUGCUACCAUUUUCUCCUUUAAUCUGUCAGCAGUACUACUCACCAACUUAUAAUCCUGUCAAACUUCUGGUCAGUUGGUAUUUGGCGGUAAUCGCAAAGCAAGAAACUUAUGCGGUCCUACAUACACAGUAGAUCAAUUUGUUAUCUUGGUUUUUAGAACCCCCUGCUGACAUAAUUAAGUUGAUGUUUGUCACAUAAUACUACCUCUAAUCCCGCUUCUUUCACCUUUCUCUUGGAGUAUUUCAGUUGCUCCUCAGACAGUGUGAUUCCCGUGUACUUGCAACCAGUUUUCUUCACCAGCUCUAUGGCUAAAGUGCCCCAACCACUACCAAUAUCAAGAACAUGAUGCCCUGACUCCACCUUAGCCUUCAGUUAAAUGGAUAUAUUCAUUGCAAUAUCAAGACAUCAUCAGUUAAUAAGGUAAUGCAUAUAUUGAGGCAAUCUCAAUAUCAGGUGAAAUUUAUGAUGGUAGAGUUCAAACAAACCUCG